CUCAUGGUUGGGAGCCCUAGUCUGAUGAAGGAGACAGCCCCAAGAUAGAGAAGACUGGUCUUCAUUCUGGGUGAAGGGGGCUAGUCUGAUGAGGUCACACCGACCAGUCAUGUAGGUACAGCUUUCCAGAGAAGAGGAGCCCUGGAGCUUGCCGGAAGGUCGCAGAAAGAGUUUGUGGGUCAGAUGAAUGAGAUCUGAUGGGAUACUUGGGACGUGGGAGGUCUCCUUGGGACCUUCACACUAAAGACUAUUGAGAGCCACAGCAAGUUCCUGAGCUAGGAAUGCAGGAAUCUGAGAAAGUUGCGGCAGUCAUAAGCAUUAGGAAGAGCUGCCUGGAGGUCUGGAUUCUCAUCCUUGGGUAAGUCAUUGGACCUCAUUUUCCCCAGCUGUGCAGUGGGGAGACGGUGAGAUUGAUCUGCAGCUCUAAAAUCAAGUGGCCGGCUCUUAGCCCAAGAGUUGGGAGACCAGUAAGAUCAUCCAUGUCAUUGAGACUCGAAUUCCCUGGUGUUGUGCUGGGGGGAAGGCUGGAAGGCCCAGAGUUCUGCCCAGCUGGUCAGCAAAGGCUGACAGAGGCCUUGGGAAUAUUUACCAGUUGGAAUGGGCGUCCCCAGAGGCCCACUCAUUGCAGCUGGUGGGAAACUUCACCUUCCAUCCACCUCUUGUCUGCGUUGGUUCCAACCCUGUAAAGUCCCCUGGGGCCAGCUAGGAAAGAGUCUGGACAACUGGGGACAGGGAUGGUAGUAUACUCAGGCAGAAGAGAGAUGGCACCAGUGCCAGCAGCGCCUCGCUGUCUUGGAGCUGCUGUCUGUUCCCCUGUUUGAGCUCAGUGCUCUCCAGGACCAUCAACCAGCAGGGCCAUGGGCAUCCAGUGACUUUUGCAACUACUGCCAUCUCUUACAGAAGGAGACCUUAAUCUUCCUGGUGAGCACCCACAUUAUACCUUUUCCAUCUAUCCUGCUCUGGGGGCUCUCACAGACCCGAAUAGAGGGGAAGAAGAUGUCAAAAGAAGAGACAGAAGGCACUAUUACAACUCAGGGAGUUGAAUCAAAUACAGCAGACUCCACAAAAAUCUCUGUGCCUAAGGGACCUACAGCAUGCUCACUGAAACCUUGGCUCUCUCCAACAAUGGGAGAGACAACAGCUCUGCAGUUCCCCUUAACCUCUCACCAACAACCAGGAGGACAGCAAUGUCAGAGUCCAGAAGAGUACACCACUAGCUGCUACUCCCAUUUUACCACAAGCCAACAGCUCUGCUGGGUCCACUGAGCAGAAUACCCCAAUACUUGAGACUCCAAAUGAGAGAUCCAGAAGCACAGCCUCAUCUAGAACAGCUACUUCAGCUAAGCACUAAAACAGAAUCAGAGAGCUCCAAUCAGAGCCCCAUUAGCAUCAAGCUCCAUAAUCAAUGGAUUGGAAUCAUCAGUGUCCACUGACUCUCAGAUAUCAGCCACGAUCACAGUUCUAACAGCAUUAAGCAUACCAGGUGAUGGCGUCCUAUCAGUGGGGUCCAUGACAGCCACUGUGUCUGAGGAGUAAGCUACAAUGAUUUCCCCAACCACACUGAACAAGAUCACCAAUGUGAAAGAAUCUCUACCCACGACAACCAGUGCAGUCAUCCACACCACUUCAAUAGCCCUGACCAUCCUAGGGAUGACUGUUCCUGGAACAAGCAUGUCUGGGACUCCGCAAGGGGAAACUACAGCUGCACACCCAGUCCCAACAAUAGCCCUCCUGAUGAGCAUACUGUCCAAAACACAUCACUGCGCUGCCACACAGACACCUUCCUGGCCAGUGGAAUCAGCCCCGAGCACUGGCGCUACAGCAGCCUAGUCACCUGAGACAGCAGCUGCUCAACAGCCCUCAUCACCCAGCAGCUCGGGGACAGCAAAGUCCUCUGACUUGAAUGGGUCCAGUCAGGUUUCCCUAAAUGCACCCAGAGCAGUCGUCCCGGAGUAGGAGCCCAUGCUUUGGAUGAGUACCCAGCUGGUGGGAGUGUUUAUACGUGCAAGGACAACUAUGACGCCCUCUUAGACCUGUCCCUGGUGUAGGUGGCCCUGCGUAGACAACUGAGGUGGUCCUGAGCAGCCGCUUCCUGAAGAUUCACUGCUGGAUCCGGAGGGAAGGUGCCGCCUUAGGAUGUCUCAAUGUUGGCAAGACAGAGGAGGGUUGUUGCCAUGCAUGCGUUUCCAUGAUGGAGAAGAAGGAGGGUACUUGUGGACCGCACUUCUCUGUAAGCAAGCUGGGAGGAGCUGCCUGACAAGAAUGGGGGAGUCUGAGAGGCAGGAUGUGGAGAGGACUGCAAAAUGGGUGGUUGGCACCAGUCAUGACUUUAUAUCUAUCCAUGGUCAGAAGGAAAUGGAACACAGUGGUUAAAGGUGUGGGUGGGCACAGCAACCAGGCUGCUAACUGAAGAGACUUCAGCAACCUAUUUAACUUCUGUGAGCCUCAGUUUUCUCAUCUCCUUCAAAAAGAAAGAGUCCAUCAAGGUGGAACUUGGAAUGGAUUUACUGAUGGUGAGCUUGAGCCCUGGAAAUAAAGACCAUGGGAUAAAAAGAUUAAAUGGGCCUCACGGAGUACAAGAGACAGAGAUUAAACAGGUGAUCCCCUAAUGCCCACAGGAGGUAGCAUCUGUGCAGACAGGUACUUGGUGGGUAAGUAAUUUGCUGUCCCUUGGACUUGUGCAUUGGUUGGUUUCUCUUCCUGGAAACCCUCAACUCCCUGAUAUCCAUAGAGAAAACUCUCAUCUCCUUCAAGUCUUUGCUAAAAUGUGACCAUUUCAAUGAAGCCCAGCCCACUCAUGCUGUUUAAAAUUGCAACUACUCUCCACUCAUCCAUUCUAGAUCAGUUUCUUUCUUCUGUGUAUCACCUCCUAACUAUAUGCCAUAUUAUAUGAGAUCAUUUGCAUUUUUAAAAAUGAAGUUAUUCAUCUGAAAUUAAUGAUAUACUAGCAUAUGUUGGCUAAUUGAAUUGAAAGAAAGAGAGAAAGAAAGAAAAAGGAAGAAAGAAAAAGAAAGAAAGUAAGUUAUUUACUGUAUGCCCUUACCCACUAGAGAAUGGGAGGUUUGGGUCUGUUUUGUUCACUCAUGUUUCCUAAUUUUCCCAAGGACCCAGAAUAGAGUCUAUAUAUAGUAAGAAUUUACUAUAAAAAAGUCACCAUGACAAUAGUGUGGACAGUUCAUACCACUAUUUCCUA